UGAUGGGCUUCGUAUUACUUUGGCCCACCAGUAAUCUCCUUCGACGCCGCAUGUCGCUGAACACUAAUUUCACCGUCUUCUUCGUAACACACCACCAAGUAACGGAUUCAUGAUUUAUGUUGAAGCCAUAAACUCAGCAUUUAAUCUCAGUAAAUUCUCUCCCACUACUUUUAAUUCCACUAGAACCUUCGAUCUCUUCGGAUUCUUCAGGAUUUGGAUCCUAUAAAUGCGUUAAAUCUCAUUUACGGACUAUCCUUCGGCUUCGUCGAUUGGGCUUGGAUAAGAGAAACCCUAAAAGAUAGCCGAGACACCACCACAAUGGAGAGCGGCGAAUUUGUCGUAAUCUCCGAUUACGACGUUAGGAUGAAGCAAGAGAAGCGGUGGUCGUUGCUCUCUCAACUACUCGCCGAUCCGAUUCUUGCUGACGCUCUGAGGAACCCAACACUGUCGUAUGUAGUCACUCUCGUCAGCCUUGAAAAAGGAAGCGCUAUGCGACUCUCCAUCGUCAAACUCGACGGCUCCUCCUUGGGGAAUGUACUUUUAUAUUGGCAUUUUGUCGAACAUCUGGUGUGCAUUGUAGAUUUACAUUUGUUUUUUUCUUUUGGAAGAUGUGGCGGUUAUGAAUUCAGCUACUUUGAAGGAUCUGAAGAUUUUUUAUCAAGAAGAGAGUUAAUGAGAUGGAGCAAGCAAACAUGGGUCAUCGCCACAUUGCUUGAUCGUCAUGAAUACAGAUCGCAUCUGUUCCAUAUGUGACGAAGAAGGGUCUGGGAAGACACUCGAAGAGGAAGAAGCAUCAUCUCUUUCGUUCACUCCACAAGAUUUGUUAGAUAGUAGCGUGUUGUGGAAGGUGGAAGAGGUGAGGCCACUGAACCAAGUAACAGCUCUGAGCCUCUGAUGAUAGGAGGAACACAAGCGAGGUUGCAACACAGAAGGAAGUUGUGUCCUUUGGAAAAGGGCACGGACUGACUAAUAAUUACAGACUAAACGAUUGAAGCUCCGCCUAUAUAUGAACACAAGCGUUUUGGUAUUGGCACUACCAGAGGCCUCGCCUCUUCUCACUUUCUAUCCGUUGAAAGAUUUUCCGACUAUCACUCCACGGUCGAGUUAUUGCAGUCGUGGGGAUCAAUAACCUCAAUGGCAAAGCUUUGUAUAUCCUCAAUGUGGUUGCUUCUGUCGGGCCCGGUUCAUGGAUGUUCCUUCUCUCACUCUUCAAGGUCUUUCCCAAAUUGAAGAUGUGAGUUCUGCGUGUAUGUUUUGGAAUACUCAUACUAUUCAGCUUUUAAGUGUUGCUCUCCACGAUUAAUUGGGCUAUUUGUAAGGCUAUUGAUAUGUUGGAACUUCUAAAGAUAGAAGAGGAAAUGCUUUCCGCACAAUCAAGGAAAACAGUUAAAGGUGCUCUUGAUGUUCGCACAUAGAAAGCUGAAAUCUGUGGCAUACAGAUACUGCUAAGAGGCAAUACUCUAGACCGGCACAACCAAUCACUUUUGCCACAUUUGCACAAGAUGUGUUACAAGGGAGUGCUCAAGUAUCCAGGUUCACGAACAGAAGAACCAUCCUCUUAGUGCAUCAUCGUUGAUGGAGCUCUUUCUACACACAGAGAGAGAGGAUGAUAGCUCAGAUUUCCAUCCCAAGCAAACACAAAAUCAUACUCAUUGCUAAACUUAUACCCUUCCUGAGAUUACAAAAAAGGUGAUUCAACUUUGAGAAGAAAGGAAGCACGUCAUGGUGCAAUGAUAACCCUUUGAGAAGAGAGGAAGAAGACAAAGAAGAUAAUGCCGAAGACGAAGAAGCUGUGAUGAAAGCUAGAGCUGUCGAUGAUUGGAAGGAUUAUAAUCCAUGUCGUGCAUGUAACCAAAAACUCACAACUUGUGACUAAGAAGAUUAUAGACUGAUAUAUAACACACUGUUUCAUUUCCAUUCUUCGAAUC